UCUCUCUCUCUCUCUCCCCCACACACACACAGAGCACACAAAAUGGCUGACAUCCAUCAUGGUGAUGGAUCAUGCUUCCCAAGAACGGACGCCGCAUGCGGUGGAGGCGGAGUAUGCGGUGGUAGAUCGCUUGGUCGGCUGUGCCUUCUUCCACCAAUGAUCAUAACAUAGAGGGUAACACCCAUGGACGUGGCACACAGGAUUAAGCCAGGCAGAGCAGAUUUACUUAUCAGAUAUUACCUGAAAAGAAUAUAUUUUGCAUGACCGUGUUCGUUCUACAAGCUUAUUCAAGAUUCAGCAAUGCAUGUGAUCAAUGGAUAUCACACGUGCAGUAGUCUCAUCUCAGCGUCUCAUCCUGAGGUUCUUCGCGGCCUUUUCUCGUCUUUCCUUAUUUUUCAGGUUUCUUGAAGAAGGUCCUUGUAUGUUGCGAUUAUCCUUUGUUUAGGGUUAGGCACUGGUGUGAAGUGAAUUCAGAUAUGUAGGAACAUAUGCUUUUUGUUUCUUUAAUUCGUUGCUCUUAAAUUUUCUCUCAAUGGAGUGUUUUUCUUCUGUGCAACCUCCUCCUCUUCAGAUGAUGUUCGCAUGAAAAAAGGGACAGUCCUCAGUUUCUAUAUAUCUGAUGAUCAUCAAACUAAACCAGACAAUUGUUGGAACAAGUUGUCAUUCCCUUUCAUUUUCAGCAUACGUUUGUUUCUC